AUGUCUAAGCAAAGAAGGCGGGGCGAGGAGGAUGAGGCCAACUACUACCACGACCGCAGCGGCAACAAGGAGAAGAGCCUCUAUCUGGUUCUAGACGACUGGCACAAGGGCUUCACCAUCCGCAAGAUCGAUGCCGACAGUCCUGACCUCAGCGCCUCCCCUGUCCUCCGGGUAGUGUCACCUGAGCGUGGCCGUGCCAUGAAGUUUGCAGCCCUGGGCGGCUACAUCAUUGCCACGAGCAACAUACAUGCCGGAACCCUCUUCUACGACACUGACACCGCCGGACUGGCCGUCGGCCCUCCCAUUCCAGAAGCACUGCUUUGUGGCUCCAACACCUUCCUGACCUCCGGCGCCGGUGACACGCUGUUCGCAUUCGCCUUCGACUUCAUGGAGCGGCCUGUGUCCUUUGAGGCGAUGGCGAAGCCGCCACCGACGGAAGACGAUGACCUGCUGCCCACCGACUGGUCUUGGAGAAGCAUGCCGACGCCCUUCACCAAGGACGAGAUGAUCUUCUCCUACACGCUGCACCCGGACAGGCGCACCAUAUUCGUAUUCUCGUGGAGCAGGGCGGUCUACGGCACGUACUCCGUCGACACCAGGAGCUGCAAGUGGAGGCGCCAUGGGGAGUGGAUGCUGCCUUUCAGAGGCCGAGGCUACUUCGACGCUGAGCUAGACACAUGGGUCGGGCUGCACGAGGACGGCUACGUCUGCUCCUGCCAGGUUGCCUCCCGCAGCGGCGGCACCACGCAGCAGUCAGAGUGGAAGAUGGCCGACGAGCGUAGGAUGUGGAUCCCAUGGCAUUAG
rnacentral:rRNA from 1 species